AGUGAACGCUGGCGGCAGGCCUAAUACAUGCAAGUCGAACGGAAGCACAGUAAGCGUUUGCCCCUAAGGGUGGCGAGUGGCGGAUGGGUGAGGAAUACAUCGGAAUCUACUAUUUCGUGGGGGACAACGUAGGGAAACUUAUGCUAAUACAGCAUAUGAUCUACGGGUGAAAGCAGGAGUUAUUCGCACUUUGCCUGACUGAAUGAGCCGAUGUCGGAUUAGCUAGUUGGCGGGGUAAAGGCACACCAAGGCAACGAUACGUAGCUGGUCUGAGAGGAUGAUCGGCCACACUGGAACUGAGACACGGUCCAGACUCCUACGGGAGGCAGCAGUAGGGAAUAUUGGGCAAAGGGCGCAAGCCUGAUCCAGCCAUGCCGCGUGAGUGAAGAAGGCCUUCGGGUUGUAAAGCCCUUUUGUUGGGAAAGAAAAUCAGCAGAUUAAUACGCCGCUGUUCUGACGGUACCCAAAGAAUAAGCACCGGCUAACUUCGUG
rnacentral:rRNA from 1 species